GACUUGUCCAAAAGUAGUAGAUUAUCUCAAUUGAUUGUUCAUAUUCGGUUGCAGGUCAAUCUCCUUGUUCUCACUUUCCCCUCUUCCUGCUACUGUACUAGAUUAGUCUUUU
ensembl:Y_RNA Y_RNA Y RNA